rnacentral:rRNA from 1 species
AGCAAACAGGAUUAGAUACCCUGGUAGUCCACGCUGUAAACGAUGUCGAUUUGGAGUUUGGGGGCAUGACCCUUGGGCUCCGGAGCUAACGCGUUAAAUCGACCGCCUGGGGAGUACGGCCGCAAGGUUAAAACUCAAAUGAAUUGACGGGGGCCCGCACAAGCGGUGGAGCAUGUGGUUUAAUUCGAUGCAACGCGAAGAACCUUACCUGGUCUUGACAUCCAUAGAAUCUUUCAGAGAUGAGAGAGUGCCUUCGGGAGCUAUGAGGCAGGUGCUGCAUGGCUGUCGUCAGCUCGUGUUGUGAAAUGUUGGGUUAAGUCCCGCAACGAGCGCAACCCCUAUCCUUUGUUGCCAGCACGUAAUGGUGGGAACUCAAAGGAGACUGCCGUUGAUAAAGCGGAGGAAGGUGGGGACGACGUCAAGUCAUCAUGGCCCUUACGACCAGGGCUACACACGUGCUACAAUGGCGUAUACAAAGGGAUGCGAAGGUGCGAACUGGAGCGGACCUCACAAAGUACGUCUAAGUCCGGAUUGGAGUCUGCAACUCGACUCCAUGAAGUCGGAAUCGCUAGUAAUCGUGAAUCAGAAUGUCACGGUGAAUACGUUCCCGGGCCUUGUACACACCGCCCGUCACACCAUGGGAGUGGGUUGCACCAGAAGUAGAUAGCUUAACCUUCGGGAGGGCGUUUACCACGGUGUGGUUCAUGACUGGGGUGAAGUCGUAACAAGGUAACCA